rnacentral:rRNA from 1 species
UACGUGAGGGUGCGAGCGUUGUCCGGAAUUAUUGGGGCGUAAAAGGAGCGUGUAGGCGGCCAGGUAGGUCGUGCUGUGAAACUCGAGGCUUAACCUCGAGAUGUCGGCGGAACCAUCUGGCUAGAGUCCGGAAGAGGGAGAGUCGGAAUUCCUGGUGUAGCGGUGAAAUGCGCAGAUAUCGAGGAAGAACACCCGUGGGCGAAAGCGGCUCUCUGGAAACGGUACUGA